rfam:Chitinophaga pinensis DSM 2588, complete genome.
UAAAAGGCUCUGUGCGCGAACACAGAGCCACCCAUUAAAUAAGUAAAUAAAUA